AAUGACAAUUUGUGACACUUGAGCCCAGAGCGGGGCGGAAUUGACACCAUGAUCAGAAAAUAAAACGAUUUAACCCCACUGACGGUCUCUAAAGCGGGUCGUCGCGGGGGAAAGAAGGACCAGAUCCGGCACGAAUCGAGGAAAGAAGACGGAGAAGCAGGAAAAAUAAAAAUAAAAUCCCGCCGCGAGUCGACGCGCCGCCGCUGGCGUUUAAUCUCCGAAGAUGACAGCGCGUAUAAAGACGAGCCGUCCGUCCGGAAAGUGACGAGUCCGGAAUUCGGACCGGCGGCCGACCUGUCCCGGUGGCCGCGGCGCGCUCACCUGACGGUUCGAUCUCGGUUCGAAUCCGCGCGAUCGGUGUUUAUAAGGGGAGCCGGACGCACGCUACUCAGAUGCUCCCUGGUCAUCACCAAACUGGACCACUGUAACCUCCAUCUCUCUGGUCUGGUACCACCAUGGGACUCUUCUCUGUCUCGGCUCCUAGGAUGUGGAAUGAGUGAACCAAACGAGGGGGUUUCUAUUGUGGACAUCGUAAAGCACGUAUGUGAACACGGGCGUGUUCCAGGACUGAAGCUGCCAUGUUGACCAAGAGGCCUUUAUUCGCAGAGUGUCUGUUUGCUCCUUCAGAAUAGCCCAAGACCUGUUUGGCCAGAUGACAAGGUGACUCACUUAUCAAUACCUGCCUUGUGUCGUCACACUAAAUUCCGGCAUGUGGGUUAUCUCUUGCACUGACCUCAGGUGACCUGGUCCCAUUCUUCUGUGAGUAAACCAUUUGUUAAAUACCAUAAUUACUCCCCACCCACUUUAAUAAGGAGCUAUAGGUUUACACUGUUCUAUGCGGCGCGUUCGUGAAAGUUGGAGCUCCUUACACAAUAAUUCGGCUUCAUGUCCUGCAGAUAGACAUGAAUGAAGACAUUAUCAUGACACGUGGCAGCCUGACUGCCAGCAACAUCAAGCUGAGCGUUUUAUUCUCAUGUCGGGAGGUGUGAUGGGAAUUGGAUGGAGGGUAUUUCAAACAAAGAAAUAAGACACAGAUCCGACGUUUUGGCACAAAAAGGUCUGGAAAAUACACAAUACAUUUUCCAUAUGCAGUAAAUAUGGUCAAGGUUGGGCAAAGUACUUUUUGUUAUACAGUACAUUGCUAUAAAUGUUACAGUGAAAAAAAAACACUUAUUUUUAGCAGAUGUACAUAACUGCAUAGUACAAAACACAUGCAAAUACUGUCAUGGGCAAAAGUUUUGGAAAUUGACACAAAUGCUAUUUUCAGUUUGCUGCUUCCAUUUUUAUUAUGGCAAUUUGCAUGUACUCCAGAAUGUUAUGAUGAGUGAUCAGAUAAAUUGCAAAGUCCCACUUUGCCAUGCAUUUCAGCCCUGCCACAAAAGGACCUUCUGAAAUCAUUUCAGUGAUCCUCUUCCUAGUGUUGAGGAGCACAGGGUUGCAGAUCAUUCUGUCAUGCUGAUUGAGUUAGAAUAGCAGACUGGAUGUUGGGUGAUGCUUGAAAUAAUUGUUCUUCCUCUGUUAACCAUGCUUACCUGCAAGGAAACAUCAUCAUUGCGCUGCAUAAAAAUGGCUUCACCGGCCAGGAUAUUGCUGCUAGUGAGAUUGCACCUAAAUCAACCAUUUAUCAGAAAAUCAAAAACUUCAAGAAGAGAGGUUCAAGUGUGGUGAAGAAGGUUUCAGGGAACCCAAGAAAGUCCAGCAAGGGCCAGGACCGUCUCCUAAACAUGAUUCAGCUGCGGGAUCGGGGUGCCACCAGUGCAGAAUUUGCUCAGGAAUGGCAGCAGGCAGGUGUGAGGGCAUCUGCACGCACAAUGAGGUGAAAACCUUUUGGAGGUUGGCCUGGUGUCAAGAAGGGCAGCAAAGAAGCCACGUCUCUCAAAACAUAAUGUUCUGCAAAAAGUACAGGGAUUGGACUGCCGAGGACAGGGGUAAAGUCAUUUUCUCUGAUGAAGCCCAUUUCCGAUUGUUUGUGAAAAACAGUAUUUAUGUAAUUCUCAAAAUGUUUGACCAAUAAUGUACUCGUGAUACUUAUAUAGAUGCUUCAUUUUAAUAUUGGGAAAAUUAAAAUGAAUAUAUUAAUGGGAAUUCAAUUUAAUACUGGCCGAGUAGUGGUUGGAGAUACACUAGUAGUCUACCAAAAGUUAUGGAGACUAAGAUGGAGCCAUUUUGUAUAUAUUUUUUUUAUAUUUUUGUAGUACAUAAGGUUUGCGUGAAUGUUUUUUCAGGGUUUUGACUGGUAGGGUUUUUUUAUUUUUAUUGUAAAUAAACACAUUUACAUUUGAUUUAGAUUUGUUUAA
rnacentral:lncRNA from 1 species